UACGUAGGGGGCAAGCGUUGUCCGGAAUUAUUGGGCGUAAAGAGCUCGUAGGCGGUCUGUCGCGUCUGCUGUGAAAACUCGGGGCUUAACCCCGGGCCUGCAGUGGGUACGGGCAGACUAGAGUGCGGUAGGGGAGACUGGAAUUCCAGGUGUAGCGGUGAAAUGCGUAGAUAUCUGGAGGAACACCGGUGGCGAAGGCGGCAUCCUGGACCGGCAUUGACGCUGAGGCGCGAAAGCCAGGGGAGCAAACGGG
rnacentral:rRNA from 1 species